rfam:Ictidomys tridecemlineatus contig055320, whole genome shotgun sequence.
GGGAUUGUGGCUCAGUGGUAGAGCACUUGCUUCCCAUGCAUGGGGCACUGGGUUCGAUCCUCAGCACCA